rnacentral:rRNA from 1 species
UACGUAGGGUGCAAGCGUUGUCCGGAAUUAUUGGGCGUAAAGGGCUCGUAGGCGGUUUGUCGCGUCGGGAGUGAAAACUCAGGGCUUAACCCUGAGCCUGCUUUCGAUACGGGCAGACUUGAGGCAUGCAGGGGAGAACGGAAUUCCUGGUGUAGCGGUGAAAUGCGCAGAUAUCAGGAGGAACACCGGUGGCGAAGGCGGUUCUCUGGGCAUGUUCUGACGCUGAGGAGCGAAAGUGUGGGGAGCGAACAGG